AUUGAACGCUGGCGGCAGGCCUAACACAUGCAAGUCGAGCGAGCGGCGGACGGGUGAGUAAUGUCUGGGAAACUGCCUGAUGGAGGGGGAUAACUACUGGAAACGGUAGCUAAUACCGCAUACUAUCAGAUGAGCCUAGAUGGGAUUAGCUUGUAGGUGAGGUAACGGCUCACCUAGGCGACGAUCCCUAGCUGGUCUGAGAGGAUGACCAGCCACACUGGAACUGAGACACGGUCCAGACUCCUACGGGAGGCAGCAGUGGGGAAUAUUGCACAAUGGGCGCAAGCCUGAUGCAGCCAUGCCGCGUGUAUGAAGAAGGCCUUCGGGUUGUAAAGUACUUUCAGCGGGGAGGCGUUACCCGCAGAAGAAGCACCGGCUAACUCCGUGCCAGCAGCCGCGGUAAUUC
rnacentral:rRNA from 1 species